GAUCAUGUUACGUUCAUUUUGAUCACAUAUCUGAGGUACAAAAAUAAAAAGAUACAAAAUUAAGGAGUUGCAACCUCGACUUCAGACUUGGACAUCACCUCGAGCAGAUCUUCAGCUAUCUUGCAAAACUUCACCACCCAUGAAACUAUGAUUUUUAUAUGUGCAAGGGUGGUUAGCAUCAUUUUGUAUCAUUGCAUGG
rnacentral:lncRNA from 1 species